rnacentral:tRNA from 2 species
GCGGAAGUAACUCAUCCGGCAGAGCGACAGCUUCCUAAGCUGUAGGUGGCGGGUUCGAGUCCCGUCUUCCGCU